CAAAAAGUAGCUUAUUAAAGUGUCAGUUUUGGGUAUUGAAGAUGUGUAUUCCUUUUUGG
rnacentral:tRNA from 1 species